UACGGGGGGGGCAAGCGUUGUUCGGAAUUACUGGGCGUAAAGGGCUCGUAGGCGGCCAACUAAGUCAGACGUGAAAUCCCUCGGCUUAACCGGGGAACUGCGUCUGAUACUGGAUGGCUAGAGGUUGGGAGAGGGAUGCAGAAUUCCAGGUGUAGCGGUGAAAUGCGUAGAUAUCUGGAGGAAUACCGGUGGCGAAGGCGGCAUCCUGGACCGACAUUGACGCUGAGGAGCGAAAGCCAGGGGAGCAAACGGG
rnacentral:rRNA from 1 species